CUGCGCCUCCGCGCCAUGGCCGGCCUCAACUCCCUGGAGGCGGUGAAACGCAAGAUCCAAGCCCUGCAGUGGCAGGCGGACGAGGCGGAAGACCGCGCGCAGGGCCUGCAGCGGGAGCUGGACCGCGAGCGCGAGCGGCGCAAGCAGCGCGAGAAAGCUGAAGGUGAUGUGGCCGCCCUCAAUCGACGCAUCCAGCUCGUUGAGGAGGAGUUGGACAGGGCUCAGGAACGACUGGCCACGGCCCUGAAGCUGGAGGAGGCGGAAAAGGCUGCAGAUGAGAGUGAGAGAGGAAUGAAGGUGAUAGAAAACCGGGCCAUGAAGGAUGAGGAGAAGAUGGAAAUUCAGGAGAUACAGCUCAAAGAGGCCAAGCACAUUGCGGAAGAGGCUGACCGCAAAUACGAGAAGGUAGCUCGUAAGCUGGUCAUCCAGGAGGGUGAGCUGGAGAGGGCAGAGGAGCGUGCGGAGGUGUCUGAACUAAAAUGUGGAAAAUGUGGUGACCUGGAGGAAGAGAACUCAAGCAUGUUACUAACAACCUGAAAUCUCUGGAGGCUGCAUCUGAAAAGUAUUCUGAAAAGGAGGACAAAUAUGAAGAAGAAUUAAACUUCUGUCUGACAAACUGAAAGAGGCUGAGACCCGUGCUGAAUUUGCAGAGAGAACGGUUGCAAAACUGGAAAAGACAAUUGAUGACCUGGAAGAGAAACUUGCCCAGGCCAAAGAAGAGAACGUGGGCUUACAUCAGACAGUGGAUCAGACACUAAACGAACUUAACUGUAUAUAAGCAAAACAGAAGAGUCUUGUUCCAACAGAAACUGCGGAGCUCCGUGGGUCUUUCUUUUCUCUUGUAUGAAGUUCCUUUUGUUAUUGCCAUCUUCGCUUUGCUGGAAAUGUCAAGCAAAUUAUGAAUACAUGACCAAAUAUUUUGUAUCGGAGAAGCUUUGAGCACCAGUUAAAUCUCAUUCCUUCCCUUUUUUUUUUCAAAUGGCACCAGCUUUUUCAGCUCUCUUAUUUCUUCCUUGAGUUGCAUUUAUUCCUAAGGUAGGCAGGGUAUUUCCUAGUAAGCAUACUUUCUUAAGACAGAGGCCAUUUGGUUCCUGGGAGAAUAGGCAGCCCCACACUUUGAAGAACACAGACCCCAAUAUCUAGUCGUGGAUAUAAUUAAAACGCUGAAGACCAUAA